UUCCUACGGGGCGCAGCAGUGAGGAAUAUUGGUCAAUGGGGGGAGCCUGAACCAGUCAAGUCGCGUGAAGGAAGAAGGUACUUAGUAUUGUAAACUUCUUUUGUCGGGGAACAAAGGCGGAGACGCGUCUCCGGAUGAGUGUACCCGAAGAAAAAGCAUCGGCUAACUCCGUGCCAGCAGCCGCGGUAAUACGGAGGAUGCGAGCGUUAUCCGGAUUUAUUGGGUUUAAAGGGUGCGUAGGCGGGCUUUUAAGUCAGCGGUAAAAAUUCGGGGCUCAACCCCGUCCGGCCGUUGAAACUGGGGGC
rnacentral:rRNA from 1 species